AUCCUGGCAUCCUGUGCUCAUGGUGGUAGAGAAGUUUUAUGAAAGCUACUUGAAACGUGAGGAUCUGAGACUUUUUGAAACAUAGGUAUUAUUUGGUCCAAACUUGCUGGUUUACAGGUUGAGAAAAACGGUACCCAGACACGUGGAGUAGCUUUUCCAAGGCCACAGGUCACAUACUUAAGGAGGUGAGGCAAAAAGCCAGAUUCUCAGGAAGACAGAAUUCUAAUCCAGAAAUGGAUUAAUGUGUAGUCAUUUAUUUAUUCAUUUGUUCAUUCAGAUAAUCUUUCCUAAGUGCUUGUUAUAUGCUAGACACUAUCCUGAUUUCAAGGGAGUAUAUGUUAUGAAAAUAAAGACAACCCAAAUGAGAACAAACAGAGGCUAUUUAUUCCAUUUGUUAGAGCAAGGAAAUCAGCCACAGUAUCUUCCUUCUGGUAGAUACUCAAAGGCAGGCAGAGGACUGGCAAAUCUUUCUAGUGAAGAAGAAGGAAGGCUUCAGGCUUCCAAGUGAGAAGUUCAGGGCUUCACAAUUGAGAACCAGAAAGAAAAGGAGAAACUGGCCUUUGUUGAGUAUCAACUGUCAACAUUCUUGGAUAAGAAAGUCACGGAUACAGAGUCCUGUCCUAACUCGGAAACUCUGCUCCACCACUAUCUGCAGAGGAGAAGAAGUAUUUAAGCUGAAUACGUCCAAGUUGAUGUGGAUAAAAACCCAAGGAACUUUUCCUAAAGGAAGCCUCAUUUUAUUGGAAUGCAAGCAUUGCUGUGGAAUAGGGAAGAAGAGAAAGAAAAUGGGAAAAUGGCCAUCAGCAACUGCUUUUAAUGGAAAUGGUAUGAGGGCCCCUCACUCUCUUCUACACGGUUUGAGUCCAUGCUCCCCAGAGAGCAAAUCUGAGGCUGCAAUGAAAAUACUUCAUUUGAGAAAGCCUGGUCUGCAAGUUCUCUCUUCUUUGAUGCCUCUUUGAGGGGGAAUGUUUCCAUUGUGUGUGGGUUUUUGAUAUGUAGCUUUGAAGAGAAUACUAAAUCCUUCCAUGAAAAGGUUGAAUAUUGUGCUCUUUGCUGAGUAAAGAGAGUUGUUGUUUUUGAGUAAGACUGAAAUCCCACUCAAAGUUCCCACUUAUUCACAAUCUGCCACUUCCUCAACAAGCACAUAAAUGCACCCUGCCUUUUAUUUACUUAUUUAUUUUCCAUGGAAGACAUAGCCAUUCUAUUGUUUAAUGAGAACAGAAAUGUAAGAAUGAAAGAGACUAAAGCAUGGAAAUGCAGGUAAGAUUUUUUGAAGAGUGAGGAAAAAAAAUUGAAGCAGGGAUGAAAUGUCUCUAGGCUAGAGGCAUGAUGUACUGAAGUCGGAAAUGUUGGAGGCCGAAGUCUGCAAAGGCCACACUACAUGCUAAAUUCUCUCACUCCCAA
rnacentral:lncRNA from 1 species